rnacentral:rRNA from 1 species
UACGUAGGGCGCAAGCGUUGUCCGGAAUUAUUGGGCGUAAAGAGCUCGUAGGCGGUUUAUCGCGUCUGCUGUGAAAACCUAAGGCUCAACCUUGGGCUUGCAGUGGGUACGGGCAGACUAGAGUGCGGUAGGGGUGACUGGAAUUCCUGGUGUAGCGGUGGAAUGCGCAGAUAUCAGGAGGAACACCGAUGGCGAAGGCGGGUCUCUGGGCCGGAUACUGACGCUGGAGGAGCGAAAAGCGUGGGGAGCGAACAGG